rnacentral:tRNA from 1 species
ACCGCCAUGCCCGAGUGGCCCAAGGGGCACGGCUGAGGGCCGUGUGUGCGAAGGCACGCCCAGGUUCGACUCCUGGUGGCGGUA